AACGAACGCUGGCGGCGGGCCUCAUACAUGCAAGUCGAGCGCGAAAGUCCGCAAGGAUGAGUAAAAGCGGCGCACAGGUGAGUAACACGUGGAUAAUCUACCCUCUGGAUUGGAAUAAACCUGUCGAAAGACGGGCUAAUGCCAAGUAAGCUCUCGGGAACGUGAUGUUCCUGCGAGGAAAGAUGGCGCAAGCUAUCGCCCGAAGGAUGAGUCUGCGUCCCAUUAGCUAGUUGGUGGGGUAAAAGCUUACCAAGGCAAUGAUGGGUACCUGGUCUGAGAGGAUGACCAGGCACACUGGAACUGAAACACGGUCCAGACUCCUACGGGAGGCAGCAGUAGGGAAUAUUG
rnacentral:rRNA from 1 species